AUGAUAAAUCAGCAGGGAAACGGGAGAACUUCUAAAAAAAUACUACAACAAAAUUGGGUACACCUAUUCGGAGAGAAUCAUGAUGCAAGUAGAACAAAGUGCUGGUAAAUAUCAAGAUCUUGUAACAUUGCAUCUUACAUUCAAUACAGACGGUUCCCGAAAAAGAGGGAACAUUCGCGGAGAAAUUUGGCCUGUUUUCCUUGCUCCGAAUGACAUUGUCGCUGAACGAUCCAGUUUUCAAGAGUAUCGUUCCGAAAUGGUGCUUAUGUCUGCGAUCAUGCUCUCAACUAGCUCAUUGAAAAAGGCAGACUUUUCUUCUCUCUUUGAGAGAAUGCGAUUGGAGUUAGAAUCGACGAAUACAGACCCCCUCACAAUCAACUUGGAAGGUUUCGAAUACAAAAUCAGACUGGAAAUUUGUUACAGUGUUUUAGACAUGGAUGCCAUUAAAAAAAUCCAUGGAGUACCAGUUUGGCAAUCGUACAAUUCGUGCUCUCGAUGUACCAUUAAAGGGUAUAUUAUGUACCAUUAAAGGGUACAUUAAACGAAUAUCCUCAAGAACGCGACAACUCCAAAAGGACGAUGUUCAGUGAGUUUAGUUGAGUCAGAUGUUCUUAGCUCACGAACAGCAUCAGAGGAUGGAGACGUCACCAGAAGAAGUUAUCAGAUUUGCAAUCGGUCAACGCAAUGAGCAUGAUGUCUCCGCUGCUGGACGAUCGGUCAAAGACUCCACCCACUGAAGCUUAA
rnacentral:misc_RNA from 1 species